GAAAACGACAGCUGUGACCCAAAACAUUACUCUGGCCUUGGUUGGUCAGAGAUCCUUGUAUGGAGACCAGUGGGGUUGGCUGGCAACCUGAGAUUUU